rnacentral:rRNA from 1 species
CACCUGUUUAUCAAAAACAUGUCUUUUUGCAAUUUAUAUAAAGUCUGACCUGCCCACUGAUAAUUAAUUAAAUGGCCGCAGUAUUUUAACUGUGCAAAGGUAGCGUAAUCAUUAGUCUUUUAAUUGAAGGCUGGAAUGAAUGGUUGGACGAGGCAUAUACUGUAUCAAAAUAAUAUAUAGAAUUUUAUUUUUUAGUUAAAAAGCUAAAAUAUUUAUGAAAGACGAGAAGACCCUAUAGAUCUUUAUAUUUUAAUUAAUUUUAUUUAUUUAGAUAAUUUUAAUUAAUAUUAAUUAAAAUAUUUUGUUGGGGUGACAUUAAGAUUUAUAUAACUCUUAAUUUAUUAUUACAUUGAUUUUUGAAUAAAAUUUAUUUUUGAUCCUAUUAUAUAGAUUAUAAAAUUAAGUUACCUUAGGGAUAACAGCGUAAUUUUUCUGGAGAGUUCUUAUCGAUGGAAAAGAUUGCGACCUCGAUGUUGGAUUAAAAUAAUUUUUUGGG